AGCAGCCGCGGUAAUUCCAGCUCCAAUAGCGUAUAUUAAAGUUGUUGCAGUUAAAAAGCUCGUAGUUGAAUUUCGGGAUCAGUUGAUCGGUCGUGCCUCGGUACGUACUGGUCAAAUUGAUUCCUACCUUCUGACGAACCACGACGUCAUUAAUUUGGUGUCGUGGGAAAUCAGGACUGUUACUUUGAAAAAAUUAGAGUGUUUAAAGCAGGCUCGCGCUUGAAUACAUUAGCAUGGAAUAAUGAAAUAGGACGUUUGAUUCUAUUUUGUUGGUUUCUAGGAUCGACGUAAUGAUUAAUAGGGAUAGUUGGGGGCAUUAGUAUUCAAUUGUCAGAGGUGAAAUUCUUGGAUUUAUUGAAGACUAACUACUGCGAAAGCAUUUGCCAAGGAUGUUUUCAUUAAUCAAGAACGAAAGUUAGGGGAUCGAAGACGAUCAGAUACCGUCGUAGUCUUAACCAUAAACUAUGCCGACUAGGGAUC
rnacentral:rRNA from 1 species